AAGGCUGAACAACACUAGUAGGUACUUUUGCUGAAAAAUACGCAGCUUGAAGGAGAAAAUAAAGCUUUAUAGUCAUUGCAGCUGAUUAAGUCAUCAUUUAGG